UACAGAGGUGGCAAGCGUUGUUCGGAAUUACUGGGCGUAAAGGGCGCGUAGGCGGUUCGUUAAGUCCUGUGUGAAAUCCCCCGGCUCAACUGGGGAACUGUACAGGAAACUGGCGAGCUUGAGUUCGGGAGAGGGAAGCGGAAUUCCGGGUGUAGCGGUGAAAUGCGUAGAUAUCCGGAGGAACACCGGUGGCGAAGGCGGCUUCCUGGACCGACACUGACGCUGAUGCGCGAAAGCUAGGGGAGCAAACGGG
rnacentral:rRNA from 1 species